AUGGAGGUCAAUCGUCCUCCUCAUGAUUGCAGGAGGAUCAGGCUUUGUCACUAUCAGAAAUUCAGAAUGCUGAAAGCUACUACCUCUCCUCCAAAUGCCUUGAGGCCUUCCCGUGCCUACUACAGGCCUGCUUUCUCUCUCAGUGCAACAACUUCGUCCUCGUCUCUAACCUCCAACCCAAAGAAAUCUUUGAUCCAGGAGCUCCGAAGGCAGCUCUCUUCCACCAUCGACGAUGCCUCGCAGGUGCUGAAGAAUGCGCCACAGAAGCUUCUGGAUGCAAUAGUUGACUCAACCUUCAAGUUUACUCAUCAAGCUCUGCUCCCGUCUGAGAGCAACUUUGCGCCCGUCGAUGAGAUCGGUGGAUCCAUAGAGAUACUCCAGAUUGAAGGAGAGAUACCCAAAGAUUUCCCCGAGGGCGUGUACAUCAGAAAUGGCUCCAAUCCUCUCUUUGGCGCCCUCCACUCGACUGUCUCCGUCUUCGGGGAGUCCAGUGAGAUAUGGGUUGAGGGCGAGGGCAUGCUCCAUGCCCUGUACUUCACCAAGACCGGUUCAGCUUCUUCUUGGUCAGUCUCCUACGACAAUCGCUACGUGCAAUCCGAAACAUUGAAGAUCGAACAAGACCGCCAGAAACCAUGCUUCCUCCCUGCUAUCGAGGGUGACUCGGCAGCCAUCAUCGUCGCCUACAUUCUCAACUAUCUGAGGUUUGGCAAGGUGAAUAAGAACAUCACCAACACCAAUGUGUUUGAACAUGCGGGUAGGGUGUACGCUGUCGCAGAAAGCCAUCAGCCCCAGGAAAUCUGCAUACAAAAUCUUGAGACAGGCAAUACCUGGGAUAUUGGUGGGGAGUGGGAUCGGCCCUUCACAGCUCACCCAAAGGUAGCUCCUGGAUCAGGAGAACUUGUCAUCUUUGGCUCAGAUGCAAAGAAGCCUUUCCUAGUUGUUGGUGUUGUCUCAGAUGAUGGAACCAAACUAAAACAUAAAGUUGACCUCAAGCUGAACAGAUCUACACUUUGUCACGACAUAGGAGUUACUCUGAAGUACAACAUAAUCAUAGAUAUACCACUUACUAUUGACAUUGGUAGACUCACUACAGGCGGUCAGCUGAUCGAAUUUGAGAAGGAAGGUUAUGCAAGAAUUGGGAUUAUGCCCCGCUAUGGUGACGCAGAGUCAGUUAUGUGGUUCGAUGUUGAACCAUUCUGCAUGUUCCAUCUUAUCAACUGCUUCGAAGAAGGUGAUGAGGUUGUUGUUCAAGGCCUCCGUUCGGCAGACUCCGUCAUACCAGGGCCAAGAUUAAACAAACAAGAAAUACUCCCUGAAAGGUCCGAGCUUAAAAAAGAUGGCAAGGCCAUGAAACAAGGCAUUAAUGAGAAAUUAUUCUCUCGCUUGUUUGAAUGGAGAUUAAACCUGAAAACGAAGACUGUUUCAGGGGAAUAUUUGACUGGGACUGAGUGCUCCUUGGAAUUCCCAAUGAUCAAUAACCACUACACAGGCGUGCGUCAUAGUUAUGGCUACGCACAAAUAGUGGAUUCUUUAACAAGAUCUGCUAGCAGUAGUGAAAAAGUACUACCAAAGUAUGGGGGCUUUGCAAAACUAUGCCUUGAGGAGAGAGAGAAUACAGAGACAUCGGCAGAAGAUCUAAUAAAGAUGGAAAUUCAUCGGCUUAGUGAAGAUGAGUUCUGCUCUGGAGCAUCAUUUGUUCCAAGAGUUGGUGGCUCACAUGAAGAUGAUGGAUGGAUAAUAUCUUUUGUACAUAAUGAAAGAACAAAUACGUCACAGGUGCACAUUAUUGAUACCCAAAAAUUUGAAGGUGCUCCUGUUGCAAAAAUAACAUUGCCACAAAGAGUGCCCUAUGGCUUUCAUGGAACUUUUGUCCAUAACAACAUACACGGGCACGUGAAUACCAGAUCAGAAAAAAAAAUGGACAACUUAAAGUUUAUAUAUUGA
rnacentral:rRNA from 1 species